UCAUGUGAUGUUAUAUAUUAUGUAUAUGGAAUGACUCUAAUAUUAAAAAAAAAAAACAGUCAAAUUCAGAUUUUUUUACUUAGCA